rnacentral:lncRNA from 1 species
AAGGACAGUUUGCAGUAGCUCUAGCCCUAAGACAGACACAUGUGCAGGACACAGCCACGGUAAAGGCUGCAGAACUUGCCAGCCAGUGGGUAGAUGAGGCUGAACCAAUACAUACUGGGUCUGCAUGUGGAAGAAUGAGGCUUGCAGCCAACGGCCGUCCACAUCUCUGAUGAGGAUCAGAGCACAUGGAAAUUGAAGCCAUGUGGGACUUAACAAGAGAUCAAAUGGUAUCUUAAACAUCCCAGGGCAGCUGCCCUGUCCCCAGAGCCUGGGGCGGCCUCUGUGAAGGGGCCCCUCUUUCCUGGUGUUCUGGGUCCCUCUCCUCCCAGCUCCACUGCAGCAUCCAGAUUUCUCGAAGUGGCUGAUGUGUGUCUCAUGAUGAGUACUGAACAUCAUAAAAGGAGAAGUGACAAGCAAGCCCGAGUCUAGAGAGUAAGAGAAGCCACAGGCUAAGAAGUGGGACCAUGGCUUAGAAGACCAGAACAGAAGAAAAAGCAAGAGAUGAACAUUCUGGCAAAAACCAGACUACAGAUUUACAUUUUUUCUUUAUUAUUUUAUUAGAUAUUACCUUUAUUUUUAUUAUCUUUUUAAAUUAUUUUUAUUAUUUUAUUAUCUUUCAUUAUUUUUAUUAAAAUUCUUAUCACUUUAUUUUCUUUAUUCUUUUUUCUUUACUCUCAGUACUUCAUUCAGCAUCACCAUAUUUAAUGUUUCCUUACAACUGGGUCUUUUCUAUGGUUGUCCUUGGAUACACCCUUGUUGGUGGCAGAACCCUGUGGUUAGUUCUGGCCAAUGACUGAUGUGUGGAAGUGAUGUGUCUGGGCUGAUGUAUUGAAUGGCCUCUGGGAAGCAAGCAGUUGACAGGGUGACAGACAAAUGCUUGAAACAGCUUAUGCAGUGGAGGUUUCCUUCAGAGGACAAUUGCCCUGGGGACAUCUCUUGAUCAGGAUCUGACUUUGCCUGGAUAAAUACAAUAAAGCUUUGUUUUAAUCUUCUGACA